UACGGAGGGUGCGAGCGUUGUUCGGAAUCACUGGGCGUAAAGCGCGUGUAGGCGGCCCCAUUAAGUCUGAUGUGAAAGCCCGGGGGCUCACCCCCCGGAAGUGCAUUGGAAACUGAUGGACUCGAGUCCCGGAGAGGAGAGUGGAAUUCCUGGUGUAGCGGUGAAAUGCGUAGAUAUCAGGAGGAACACCGGUGGCGAAGGCGGCUCUCUG
rnacentral:rRNA from 1 species